GAUGAACGCUGGCGGCGUGCCUAAUACAUGCAAGUCGAGCGAACAGACGAGGAGCUUGCUCCUCUGACGUUAGCGGCGGACGGGUGAGUAACACGUGGAUAACCUACCUAUAAGACUGGGAUAACUUCGGGAAACCGGAGCUAAUACCGGAUAAUAUAUUGAACCGCAUGGUUCAAUAGUGAAAGACGGUUUUGCUGUCACUUAUAGAUGGAUCCGCGCCGCAUUAGCUAGUUGGUAAGGUAACGGCUUACCAAGGCAACGAUGCGUAGCCGACCUGAGAGGGUGAUCGGCGACACUGGAACUGAGACACGGUCCAGACUCCUACGGGAGGCAGCAGUAGGGAAUCUUACGCAAAGGGCGAAAGCUUGACGGAGCAACGCCGCGUGAGUGAUGAAGGUCUUCGGAUCGUAAAACUCUGUUAUUAGGGAAGAACAAAUGUGUAAGUAACUAUGCACGUCUUGACGGUACCUAAACAGAAAGCCACGGCUAACUACGUG
rnacentral:rRNA from 1 species